rnacentral:rRNA from 1 species
GUGGGGAAUAUUGGACAAUGGGGGGAACCCUGAUCCAGCCAUGCCGCGUGUGUGAAGAAGGCCUUUUGGUUGCAAAGCACUUUAAGCGAGGAGGAGGCUACCGAGAUUAAUACUCUUGGAUAGUGGACGUUACUCGCAGAAUAAGCACCGGCUAACUCUGUGCCAGCAGCCGCGGUAAUACAGAGGGUGCAAGCGUUAAUCGGAUUUACUGGGCGUAAAGCGCGCGUAGGUGGCCAAUUAAGUCAAAUGUGAAAUCCCCGAGCUUAACUUGGGAAUUGCAUUCGAUACUGGUUGGCUAGAGUAUGGGAGAGGAUGGUAGAAUUCCAGGUGUAGCGGUGAAAUGCGUAGAGAUCUGGAGGAAUACCGAUGGCGAAGGCAGCCAUCUGGCCUAAUACUGACACUGAGGUGCGAAAGCAUGGGGAGCAAACAGGAUUAGAUACCCUAGUAGUCC